rnacentral:rRNA from 1 species
UCCUACGGGGCGCAGCAGUGAGGAAUAUUGGUCAAUGGCCGAGAGGCUGAACCAGCCAAGUCGCGUGAGGGAUGACGGCCCUACGGGUUGUAAACCUCUUUUGUCGGGGAGCAAGACCCGCCUCGUGCAGGCGGAGCGAGAGUACCCGAAGAAAAAGCAUCGGCUAACUCCGUGCCAGCAGCCGCGGUAAUACGGAGGAUGCGAGCGUUAUCCGGAUUUAUUGGGUUUAAAGGGUGCGCAGGCGGACCAUCAAGUCAGCGGUAAAAUCGUGGGGCCCAACCCCAUUCCGCCGUUGAAACUGGCGG